rnacentral:lncRNA from 1 species
UUACCAGAAGACAUCCAGGAUGUGUGGACAGCGUGUGGUUCAGACCCAGGCUUGUGCUACACGUGGGACAUGACAUGCAACGACAACUUAGACUUUGGUAAAAAGGUCACUGCCCGCCUACGCUUUGACCGCAUAUAUCUUCGACACUCGGAGCCAGCUCAUUUAUUGCCAGUUUCGUUCGAACUUAUCGGACAGAAAAGACUGGAAACGGAACAGUGCUUCCCCAGUGACCACUGGGGUAUUGCCGUCCAGUUUAGGUGUUUGUGACCCGGACGUGCUCUUUUUUUGUAAAUACCUUAUCUACUGGACAGGCAGUGAGAAAAACGCUUUACCACCACCAGGGUCCUUUUACUUUCACACAAGCCACUCAUGCAGUUGCCAGCACAAUUGUAUAGCACCAGGAACCAUGCAACAAAGUAUGACGCGAAGUGGCUGUGGCUGCUGUUUAACAAUGUAUGUUUACCUUUUAAAGCGAGACAGUGCUCCACAGGGUUUCUUGCACACCACUGAUACACAAAAGGAGAAAGAAAAUAAUUCAGGCAGCUCAGUCCUGAAGGAGGCUGUCUUUUGGCAUUUUACGUUGAGAACCAUUGUGCUUGUUACUGGUGGUGUAGUUAAUAAUUUAUCAAAGAAAACAUGCUGUAGUAGAAAGCCUUGUACCUCGCUGUAAAUGAUGAAAUCCAUCUUGACAAUUUCAUACUCUGUGGAAGUAGACAAGUGGCUCCACUUUCGUCACAUUCUACCCCAUGUGCCUGGCCUAGGCAUGUGGGUGUGCAGUCAGUGCAUUAGACAUGUCCUUGAUGAAUAAUUGAUAUCCCGUAGUUUUACGAUAUUGCAAUAUUUUCGUUGUGAUGACUACGACGAAGAGUCUUAAACAGUGCUCUUGUGUGAAGUUCAGCAGCUGAUGUGCACAAAAAGAAGAGGGCAUACAUUGAAAGACAAGACAGUGUUUCACUAUACAGGCAAGGCAGACAAAAAAAUUAUAUAUCCUUGCAGAAAAGUCCUGUGAAUGUAUGGCAGAGCAUAAUUAAGCCAGUUACAUUGGCAAAAAUGGUGCCUAUCUGUGAAAGAUUGUUUAUAAAGGUAAAAGAAAGCAAGAAACUGCCAUAAGCACAAGUGCGUGUUAACUGCCGCUGCAGGCAAACUUUGUAUCGUGUGAAGCAAGUCUAGCUUGACUGAUGCACUUCAGCACGGGAUCUUGUAUGAACGUUUUGAAUGUGUAUGUUACCUGUGCAAGCAAAUGAUCUUUUGUAGACAUUGCAACCCCCAGUAUGCGGAAGCGUUUGUCAUUGUCCUUUUGCUGUUGUAUCUUGUGGAAGAUGGCAGCAGUAAGCAUUUGUGGUCAAGCAUUGUACACAUAGUAUGUGUUAGGUUUUAUAUUUGUAAGCCAUUGCGUUGUGGGCUUUCGUCAUCCUUAUUUUUACCAGUGCAGUUCAAAGCUACAGUUCUUACAGGAUUCAGAUAUCCAAGUUCUUUGUACUUGUCUGUUUGUGUUAUUUUUUAAUACAUUAGUUAGCAUUAAGAGUGUUAGGAUGAAAAAAAUUGCCACAGAAAUUUUUGUUUCACGUUUCAUAGUUUCCUGUUGCUCUUGUUUUUUGCUCCUUCACCAUGUGUGAAGCCAUGUGUGUGCUUCACCAUGUGUGUGCAGAAGUUUUACCAUUUGAUAUUGAUUUUACGGUAUGCAGUGGUGACUGAAGAUUCUCACCAAAUAAUAACUGAGAAGAAAUUGGUUGGAGUUCUUGUUUGCAUUGAUGAACUGAGUUGGUAAUAAUGGCCCUUGCAUUAACAAAUAUUUUAGGUGAAACUUGUUGGAUAUCGACAUGUCUACACAAUGCAAAAGACGAGGACUGAAGGAAGAACGCAACACAGCACCUGUGUUGUGUUCUUCCUUCAGUCCUCGUCUUUUGCGCUGUGCAGACAUGUCGAUGUUGAAUCAGCAACUUGCCCAAGCUUCCACCUUGAUGGAUAUACUGUAUUUGCAUGAUUCUAACGCUCUCCUUCUUAAAAUAAAAAGUGCAUUAAAAUUUGCAUGCACGUUACAAUCGUAACUAAUUCUUCUCAAAAUCGAAAAUGAAAUGAUUCUUACUAACAAAAAUAAAGAAAGUUCUAUGCGAAGUA